rnacentral:rRNA from 1 species
CAGUAGCCGCGGGAACACGGAGGGAGCUAGCGUUGUUCGGAAUUACUGGGCGUAAAGCGCACGUAGGCGGUUAUUCAAGUCAGAGGUGAAAGCCCGGGGCUCAACCCCGGAACAGCCUUUGAAACUAGAUAACUAGAAUUCUGGAGAGGUCAGUGGAAUUCCGAGUGUAGAGGUGAAAUUCGUAGAUAUUCGGAAGAACACCAGUGGCGAAGGCGACUGACUGGACAGAUAUUGACGCUGAGGUGCGAAAGCGUGGGGAGCAAACAGGAUUAGAUACCCCGGUAGUCCCUGUCUCUUAACA